rnacentral:tRNA from 1 species
GAUUAAGUGGCUGAAAUUUAGGCGAUAGAUUGUAAAUCUAUAUAUAAGAGUUAUUCUCUUCUUAAUCA